AGAGUUUGAUCAUGGCUCAGAACGAACACUGGCGGCGUGGAUUAGGCAUGCAAGUCGAGCGGGAUUCUGUUUUUUCAAUUCUUCGGAAGAGAAGUUGCAGAUGAGAGCGGCGAACGGGUGAGUAAUAUAUGGGUAAUUUGCCUUAGAGCUCGGGAUAGCCAUCCGAAAGGGUGGGUAAUACCGAAUGUGCUCGGGUACCGCAUGGUACCUUAUGUAAAGGUGGGGAUCUUCGGACCUGCCACUCUAAGAUAGGCCCAUAUCCUAUCAGCUUGUUGGUAAGGUAAUGGCUUACCAAGGCUUACGGGUAGCCGACCUGAGAGGGUGACCGGCCACACUGGGACUGAGACACUGCCCAGACUCCUACGGGAGGCUGCAGUCGAGAAUCAUUGUCAAUGCACGAAAGUGUGAACAUGCGACGCCGCGUGGAGGACGACGGCCUUCGGGUUGUAAACUCCUGUCCUGAGGGAGUAAGUGCACAUUGGUUAAUACCCUUUGUGUUUGAUAGUACCUCAGAAGAAAGUCACGGCUAACUCUGUGCCAGCAGCCGCGGUAAUACAGAGGUGGCAAGUGUUGUUCGGAUUUACUGGGCGUAAAGGGUCCGCAGGCGGUCCUGUGUGUCGGAUGUGAAAGCUCACGGCUCAACCGUGGAAUUGCAUUCGAAACUACAGGACUAGAGUACAGGAGGGGAGUAGGGAAUUCAUGGUGUAGCGGUGAAAUGCGUAGAUAUCAUGAAGAACACCGGUGGCGAAGGCGCUACUCUGGACUGAUACUGACGCUCAUGGACGAAAGCUGGGGGAGCGAAGAGGAUUAGAUACCCUCGUAGUCCCAGCCGUAAACGGUGUGCACUUGAUGUUGGAGGUUUACCCCCUUCAGUGUCGGAGCUAACGCGUUAAGUGCACCGCCUGGGAAGUACGGCCGCAAGGUUAAAACUCAAAGGAAUUGACGGGGGCCCGCACAAGCGGUGGAGCAUGUGGCUUAAUUCGAUGCAACGCGAAGAACCUUACCAGGGCUUGACAUGUAACUGCAUAUGACCCGAAAGGGACAUAGCCUUCGAGGGUGUUACACAGGUGCUGCAUGGCUGUCGUC
rnacentral:rRNA from 1 species